GUUUCUGCUCUGUAAUUUGGUGCUAAUUACGUGGGAGACGUUCAGAUGUUUGUUUUUUUUAGAUUUUUAAUUCUAGUUAACUGCAGGCUACGAGAAAGAUUCUACAAGAGGCCUAUUAAACUUGCAAAAAUGUUAAUCUUUAAACAAACCGGCGCAGGUAGAAGGGGACCACCGCAGCUCGCGCACAGCUCUGCGUCGGUUGUGUGGACGGAGCGCGCACCUGAUCGUGGCUUAGUGACGUCACUCACACCUGUUCCUGUCCUUCCCUACUGAGCAUGCCGACCGUGGACCUCCAAAGCUGUAAUUGAUAUACAUUUACUCCUUGGAUGAAACAUGAGGUGGCAGAGUUCAUAUUCAUCAUGAAGGCAAAAUAACGGAGUAACCGAGAACCGAGGCUUUUAACUGAAUACACAACGCGCACCCGCGCACACGCAGCGCUCGUGUGAGGCGGUUAGUCACGGAAAUCCGUCCAGGCUGAGAAAACGACACCAAUCAUGACUUGGAGUCGCUCUGCUGCUGGUUUGGGACUGGACGUCGUGUUGUCUUUUGUUCCGUUCUGCAUGUGGAUGCGCAGAUAUAGCGCAAGGAUACAGUGACACCUGUCGUCUCCUGCAGACUCCGUGGGAAUAGGACGACUUUAGGUUGCCACUACGAUUUAUUUCUGAUACAAACUGAAACAACACGACUGAUGGGAAUCAGACAAUCCUGCGGGGCAUACGUGAAUUUAGAAGUCUGCGUGUACUCUGACCGAACUCUCAGGAAAAGAGAAAUACGCGCAGCUACGACCAGCACGUCAUGACCGUAAUCAACCAGCAGGGGGCAGUGUUGCACUGGAGCAGAGACAGUCACCGCUGAAGAAUCAAAGCACUGUGACUUUGUUUUUGCACUCUAAAUUCUAUGCUGUAUGAUGAAGCAGUUAUACUUAUAAUUAUUAUUAUAUAAUGAUUAAAGAAAUGUGAGCAUUAUAAUCAAUGCAAUGUGAAGCUAGGGCACAUUUAAGAAAUUGUGUUGAUGUGCGUGUUUGUUUUAUUAAAGAUUAAAGAUCUAUGCAGGUCGGUGGAGUGAUUUUGCUCAGCUGUAGCUGCCCAGAUGUAAUAAAUGAAGUUGUUUUAUGUUUGUAUGUCAGUGAGGAUUUUCAGUCAACCAGCUGAGGUUGUCAGGAAGCUCAGCCACGCUGCCUGUAUUUUUCUAUGUUUCUCAGAUUCUCAGCUUCUGUAAGUGUAGGUAGUGUAGGUUUUUGACUGACUCUAAUUUUGUGGAAGCAAAAUGCAUGCUGCCCUAGAAACUGUGUAAUCUUUAUCUAGCUUACACAGAUGGGAUGUUUAGUGAAAUAGGUUCACAACACAUAAUAAAGUUGUAAAUACAGUAUUUAUCAGUUUAUUACAGUUAAAAAGAUGUAUUUACAUACAGAACGUCACCAAACAUGGUCAUUUCAUUCAUUUGCAAAGUCGAACUCUGUGGCUUGUUGGUUUCUUACAAUGGGGCGGCAUUGACUGAGUUUGUGGUCUACAACCAAGCCUGCUAAAGAGUGCAUCUUUUCUCUUUUGCCAAAUAAUACUUAAAAAAAUGCUCAAAAGCAAUAAAACUGAAACAAGUUAAGUAAAGCAAAUUAUUGAAUUGCUGGUCAAAAGCCAAGUUCCUGUUACCAGCAUCUGACUUUGCACAGUAUGUACACGGGAAAAAACACCUCAGACUGCUCCUUGGACACCGUCGAUAGCAAUGAAGACUCACAUAGAGGUAGUCAUGUCCACAACUGCUCGUCCAGUCGAGAGACCACUGAGCCAAAACCUUCUAAGCCUGUUCAAUCCGUGGCCUCACAUCCCUUUAGUGACAUUAAAGGAACAAAAAAAAGUGAUUAUCUGUCUGAAAACGGUCAUGAAGGUUCUGCUUGGCGCACAUAAGGCAGUCAAGUAAAUGAGAGAGACGGAGAUUAUAAACAAGCGCGUGAGAAAGAUUCAGGUGCUUCACAUUAAAAGGGCCGUUCCACCAAAACCGGCUCGACUUCACCAGGAUAAGAGGGCAGGAGAAGAGGAACACGCAGUUUAGUAAGAAAACCAAGGGGAAUGUUGAUGACUUGUAUGAAUAUAGCUAUUUUUCUUCCAUAAGUACAGAUGCCUAAUGUGUAUGUGGAGGAAAGUUCAACAAACUGAACAUUCACACCUAAAUGUUCCCAAAAAAAAAAAUAAAAUUAAAAGUUAAAUCACUGUUGUGCUUUAAAACCAGUUUUCGCAGAAAAGAAAACCAUGCAAGUCAGUUUUGGUGGAAAUCCCCUUUAAUGCCAGUAACAAGUGAGACGCAAGCUAAUGUACAUCCACUUGGUAGCAUAGUGGCAUUAUCUUCCAUAGCACUCUUUGUUGUCCUGUAGAACUCUCAUCACGUCACACAUGUUGUAAUACCGAGUCCACCAUAACAUCAGAUUACUGUACAGAGUCAAAGGAAAAAUAAAACGAGACCCAAAUUUACACUGUAACCACCAGUUGCUUGUCAUCAAGUACAGUCAGUGGCCAUAGACACAAGGAAUAGCCAGACACAUAAAAAAGACCAUUAAGGCUGCUUGUCAAUGUAGAUUAAGUAGGAUACGCAUUGCCACACAAUGCUUUGAUACCCUUUGCAAUAUACAAAAAGGGAGCAUUUGCAGAUACACCAAUAGCCACUAAAUUUAACUCCUCUAUGCAAAAACACCCAAUUCUGACCCAGACAAAUCAUGUCAAAUAAGUGUUCAACAUGCUUGUUUGCUGUACAAAUUAACCAGGCAAAGAAAAUAAAAAAAUACAAAUUGUAUGAUCCCAGAAAAGAGGGGGAGGAGGAAAAUGACUCUGCGACACUCUCGUGGCCUAAAAUCACAGACAAUAGAAAAAUAAACACCAAGUUUACUCGGAUUAAUUUGGAUCCACCAGUUUGCAAAUAUAACGCCAUCAUAAGGUUUACCAAACAGCUUCCAGUAGCCGAUCUGCCUCUCCUCCUCCUAAUCCACAGCAAACCAAAACUAUUUCAGGACCUGAUAAAUGCUCUCCAGUCGAUUAGCCCAGUUCAGUCUCUGGCGCCACCUCCCAUCAUUCUCUGCAUCUUCAUACACUCAGCAUUCUUGCAAAAUGGCACAAGAAAAAAAAAAAAGGAAAGGAGACUGAAUGUAAAGAUGGGUCACAGCGCCCUUGCUGCAUACCUAAUGCACAU